GAUGUCUGUAAAAAGUGCAAAAAGUGGACCAGAAAGCAGACCCUCUUCUGCUCUCAGCACACCUACACGAGGAGGGAGGGCUGUAACAGCUGGAAAAUUCAAAAACAAGGCCCUUCAGCUAAGCCUCUCCAAGAAGUUCUGCACCAAGUCACCAUCCUCCAAGGAGAAGAGUCCUGAAGCAGCGGAGGGGAGUCGCAAGGGUAAACGAAGCCUCAGCAACAGCUCAGUGGUGGCAGCGGCCUACAUCUCCUUCCUGAACAAACUUUUUGGACAGGUUCGUUCUGGAGCACAUAAAUGA
rnacentral:lncRNA from 1 species